CAUAUUUUACCUUUCCUUACCUUUCUUUGUUAAAUGAACUUGAAUUUAAUUAACUUUUGUAUGUCUCAAUUUGUUCUCAUAAAGUUAGAAAAGCUUAAUGAAGACAGUGGUUUUUAAUAGGAUCAUUUUUAUUUUUCAUAGCUUUAAAUCUUCAAAAAAGACUUAAGGAUCUUCAUGGCACCAUAACGUAGGAAAAUGCAUCUGGAGGAGAAGUGGUCAGGCCUCAGGUGACGCGUCAGUUCCUGGAAGAGGCCUCCCAGGCACACAGGCUCCCUCAUCUGAAUCACUGUCUCCCGCUCUAUUUGUCCUUGGCGGCCCGUGGUUACACGGCCUAUAAAAAGCCCGUGUUUUGCGUGGGAUCAUCUGUCUGCCCUACGUUCUCCUGACUAGACUUUAUGUUCCACGAGGCAGGGUUCGAGCCGAUUUUGAAUCCCCAACAGCGACUGCACACUGGAGGGAUCUGUAACAGGAUUUCAGAGGCCGGGGUGCUGAGUGACCGUGGACACAAUCCAACAAGACUGAAAGCUGAGGAGGGGUUGUGCCCAUGACUGCCACAUUCCAUCUCUACUCCCAGCCUCAAGGUCUGUUUACUGGCCAGUUAUCAAAGUUAGUCUUUGGGUGUCCGAACAGAGGAAAAGGACAUAAAGGGAAACAUAAGUGCUAGGAAAUAAAAGAGUAUAUACUUUAUCGUCGAUUAGGCUCAACAUGUACUUUUUCUGUUCACAGACACCAGCUUCGAUGCAACCUUUGGAUGGGUGUCAUCAUACGCUCUAGCCACGGACACUGGGCAAACACACCAGCCCUGCAGAAAGACGGGUUACCUCUUCCAGGUCACGAGGAGCACCUCACAUUGCUUCUGUGUUGUAAAAAUGGUAUUCUAGUGCCCGUAACGGUCAUGGGCGCAAGAGAAGGGAACGGAGAUUGCUGAAGAAUUACGAAUUCUCAAUGAAUCACUGCAAAGAGCUAUACGCCUCCCAGGGCGAUGACACUCCAGGGGCACUAUUUUUUUCUCCUUUCCCAGAAGAGAAAGACCACCACUAUUGUAAGGAUUUGUUAAAUCAAGGCUCUGUUCUUUCUCCCAUUGACAUCAGUAAUCCAGUAUGUAAAGUUCAGGCAUAAAAAGGGGCAGUAAAGGAUCCGUGACCGCAGAAGAGCCGUGUGAGCACCGUAAAUACAUUUCGAGCACUAGCCUCUGGCUUCACCACCGAAAUUUAAGAGCUAGAAUGAUUUCUUAAAGUAAGUGCGGGUCAAGGUCCUGAGGCAGUCAUUCCACCCUGGAUUGAAUAUAUUCAAAAGGAACACGAAGAACAUAUGGUGUGAGCAAAACUGAACUCAAACAUUCAUUCUUACUCUCUCAGCUUCCUUCACUUAGUCUCCCUACAAGGCGACAAAAUCACUCCCAGAAGACGGGGAAAUGGGACCAGAAACACACACACGGCUUGUUCUUUUCACGGUAAACAAUACACCAUGCCCCGCAAAAUAUUUUAUUCCUUGUUUCUGAAAGCACCGAAGGGCCUACCUGCGUGUGUACGUCUGCAGAUAUUCAGGACCAUUUUCACACGUGGCUAAUAUAGAAAGACCGCCGUGAACACGACACAUACAGAGGAUGUGAGAAAAGCUCCGGAGAAACCCUUCUCUCUGGCUGGAUCGGCGAGGCCUUGAGGAAAUCUGUGGACACCCGUCUAUGCCGAUGUACCUCCACGGGGGCAGUGCAUGUGAGAUGCGCACCCCCAGCAUUUCCAUCUGCGGCCUCUCUCCAUCCCAGCCAGCCCAGGAAACACGCGACCGGAGCAAAACCAGGAGACUGUUUUUGGCCCUGUACACUGUCUACAGCACAACGGCUCGAACUCCGCAAAGAGGGUGCUGGAACGUCUGCCGCAUAAGCUGCUAACGGAAGCUCAGCCAGUCCCACGCCCAGCCCUGGACACUGUGGGUGUCAUCUUCACUUUCUCCGAAAGGGUCCUUUGGUAGAGGAAAUGCUUUGCCGUUAUCACCGGCAACUGAUAUGCACGAGCCCAGACCAAGUAGAGUGAUGUGAUGCUGGUCACAGCCUUUUUUUGGCCCAACUCUAGGAAAGUCAAGAGCCCACCUUCCGACCAAAACCCGUCAGGAGCCACUCGGUAACGUUCUGGGUUCCCCUGUCGUUCCUGUUUCCCUCCGAGAUUGUAACACAGUGAGAGCGGACUGACGUGUGCCUAUCAACUGAUACGCAGUAGAGACUAAAUCAUCCCUAUUCCUUGGA